rnacentral:rRNA from 1 species
GAUAACUUGAGGAAACUCAAGCUAAUACCGCAUACGCCCUACGGGGGAAAGCAGGGGCUCUUCGGACCUUGCGCUAUCGGAUGAGCUUAUGUCGGAUUANCUGGUUGGUGAGGUAACGGCUCACCAAGGCGACGAUCCGUAGCUGGUCUGAGAGGAUGAUCAGCCACAUCGGGACUGAGACACGGCCCGAACUCCUACGGGAGGCAGCAGUGGGGAAUAUUGGACAAUGGGGGCAACCCUGAUCCAGCCAUGCCGCGUGUGUGAAGAAGGCCCUCGGGUUGUAAAGCACUUUCAGCGAGGAAGAAUGCUUGUCGGUUAAUACCCGGCAAGGGANACAUCACUCGCAGAAGAAGCACCGGCUAACUCCGUGCCAGCAGCCGCGGUAAUACGGAGGGUGCGAGCGUUAAUCGGAAUUACUGGGCGUAAAGCGUGCGUAGGCGGCUUGAUAAGCCGGUUGUGAAAGCCCCGGGCUCAACCUGGGAACGGCAUCCGGAACUGUUAGGCUAGAGUGCAGGAGAGGAAGGUAGAAUUCCCGGUGUAGCGGUGAAAUGCGUAGAGAUCGGGAGGAAUACCAGUGGCGAAGGCGGCCUUCUGGACUGACACUGACGCUGAGGUACGAAAGCGUGGGUAGCAAACAGGAUUAGAUACCCUGGUAGUCCACGCCGUAAACGAUGUCGACUAGCCGUUGGGGUCCUCGAGACCUUUGUGGCGCAGUUAACGCACUAAGUCGACCGCCUGGGGAGUACGGCCGCAAGGUUAAAACUCANAUGAANUUGACGGGGGCCCGCACAAGCGGUGGAGCAUGUGGNUUUAAUUCGAUGCAACGCGAAGACCNUUACCUACCCUUGACAUCGUGCGAACUUCCAGAGAUGGAUUGGUGCCUCGGGAGCGCACAGACAGNGCUGCAUGGCUGUCGUCAGCUCGUGUUGUGAAAUGUUGGGUUAAGUCCGGUAACGAGCGCAACCCUUGUCCUAUUUGCC